rnacentral:rRNA from 1 species
AUGCACGUCUUAGUACGAGCUGACUUAAAGUGAAACCGCGAACAGCUCAUUAAAUCAGUCUCUGUUCACUGGACGGAAGGGCAACCGUAAAUGGAUAACUGCGGAAAUUCUGGAGCUAAUACAUGCCAUUGACGACGCGAGGUUCGUAAGAUCCGAGCGCAGACUUUAUUAGACCGAAAACGGACGACUCAGCCCCGCUGAGACGUCAAACGGUGACUCCGAGUAACCGACAGUUGAUCGCAAGGCCGUUCGGGCCCGCGACGCAUCCUUCAAGGGUCUGCCUCAUCAACUAGACGGUUCGCUAACAUCCGACCGUGGUUCCGACGGGUGACGGGGAAUUAGGGUUCGAUUCCGGAGAGGGAGCCUGAGAGAUCGCUACCACA